GUUUAUGGCCAUACCACCCUGUACCACCCAAUCUCAUCUGAUCUCGGAAGCUAAGCAGGGUUGGGCCUGGUUAGUACUUGGAUUGGAGAAUGACAAGCAGUUCAAUU
rnacentral:rRNA from 1 species